GCUGUUUUGCAGUCCUCCCUUUGAAAACCGUAGAAGACUGGAAACGCAACCCAGUGAAAGCCUUUCUAAGUCUACAUACAGAGAGGUCUGAAAACAUUUUUUCAAAGCCGAAAGAGGUUUUGAAACACUGUUUGAAACAUUCGGUCAUAACCUGCAGGACUAUCAGUCACAUACUCUUGACUACUGUUACAGAACUCGUAACCUCGCCUCCUCUUUUGAUGCACCUUAUGGAGCUUGUAAUAGACAAAUGUUCACUGUAUUACUAAAUGUUGCUAUUUAUGUGCAUUGAAAAGCUGUAUUUGAUUGUUUCUACUUUCUUAAGCACAAAGAAAACGCCGUGCUUUUCUAUGUUUUUGUUCAUUCUGUGGAAUUGGGGCACAGAAAAACUGAGCAAAUUUCUCCCCUGGAUAAGGUAGGUUGCAGGCAUUAUUGUCUUGAAUACAGGUAGUCUGAACCACAACUGGUUAAUAAUGAAGGUCCAGUCCACACUGACAAAUUUUACCAUGUGACUCUGUAUGUGGGUAUGCUACUGUAUAAAGGAAGAUUGUAUAUGGUUGCCAUCUUCGUGCUUUCAGCUGCUGGAAAAAUGCAACCAUUAUCAUGAAAAAGGCUUCAGUUUCCCAUGUGUACAGCCUGUAUCAUGCUAGCCUUUCCUUUCAUGUACAUGAUCACACAAACAGGAUAGCUGUAUUCUUAUUCAAACCAUGGUUGUAGACAGUUUUUCUCCCAGUAUAAAAUAGAUAUAUGUGUAGCCCCUUUGCUGUGUGUACCGAACCACCAAAAACUCAAAUACAAGUAUGGCUGCAAUUGAGAAAAUCUACAGAGUUUAUCAUAGGCCAGUUGUGGACUGAUCUGUAGGUCAUUUGUACAUUGAUCUAUGUAGGAAAAAUCCUUAGCUACAUAAAUCAAAAUGUAAACUCUCGAAGAAACUCUUUUAAAAUAACUUUUAGAAAUGAAUCUUACAAAUCACAAAUAGAUAUUUAACGUUCGUUAUCCUAGACUAAGAUUUUAAAAAGUAUUCCUGAAGGACACAUUUCAAAAACAAAAGUCAAGUGUUCAUAAAUUCAGUGAAUUUGCCAUAAGCUCACCACCGCCAUCUAGUGCCACAUUUGUAUAAUGCAUUUAAAACACACUUAAAACGUUAUAUUUGCAGCUGUGUAGCCGAGUCCUGGAUCUAGCUAACUGGUUCAAUUCAGUAUGUGAGGUUCUGGCCUGCCCUGUUCCACUUGGUCUCCCCUCCCUACAGCCUACUCUUCCCCAAUUUUCACUCGCUGCGUAAAAUACAUGGGGAUUCCUGUUCCCUGGCCCUGUUAGGUUCUCCCCCUACCUUACAUGUGGUCAUCCUGUGGUGUGCAGGCUGCAUGCAGCCCUCGGCCAACUUUUGUGAAUCCUUUUGGAAUCUCCAGCUGAUUCCUCCCUCCCUGUUGCGCAGCUUUUAGCCCUAGGGAUAGCUUCUCAACCUUCCUAGCACUGAUAAGCGAGGCAGCAGGAGGGACAUGAUAGGCUCUCCUGAUGCCUGUACAGAGAGAUGGGGACGGGGAGGAGGAAAAGUGUCUUGGGGAAGGGGCUCACUCAGGCCUCACCCACACCCACCGCCUACAUGCAGCCUCCCAGUUCACAGACCACCAUUGCAUUUGACCCUCAGAGGCAAAAGGGUUGCCUGCUCAUCUUCUCGGCCCUGUGCCUUCAUGGCCGUUCGCUUUCUUAGCUCUGCAUUGUCUUUGCCAUUCUUUGUAGGAACUGUGUGCUGGGGCUCAUAUCAUAUUUCUCCUGAAAACAGUACUCUCAUUUUACUCUCAUUUCCCCCACAACAUUCCACGUAGAGAAAAUAUAUUUCUGUUAUUUUAUACAUGGUAUUUUUAUACUGCUUCCCCCCUCCUAUGUAUGCUUAUGCAAAUAUUUGUAUGUGGUGUGGGUUUUAAGGAACCAGAUGUCAUCCGAAGUGUGGUUUUUAAAGUACCAGAUGUCUCCAGAUCUGUAGUUGUAGAGAGACAAUCAAAUGUAUCCAACAAUUGUGAGAAAGGAGCCUUUGAUGAGAUUCGUACUCCCAAUGUUGUUUUACUGCCGCUAGGAAAGCAGCAUAUGUAACCAAUGUCAUGUAAGCGAAAUGAUUUGUUUUAAUUUAAACCCAAAGUGAGCAAAAAUGCACAUAUUUAUUUUUUCAAAAUAAAUUCUGUGAACAAAAAUCGUUUCAGCUGCCCUUCUCCCUUCACAAUAGCGUAUCAGAUUGAAUAGAGGUUCUGAGCCAUUUUCUUGGAGCACAGAUCAACUGGAAUCUCUCAUAUCACUGAAAGAAAAGGAGUGAGUUUGUUAACUUAAUACCCACUGAGUUGUUGGGGCCUUGAUGCAGUAAUAACAUAUGGGAUCUAUUAAGAUACGGUAUUCUUUUUGUAAUGGAGAGAUAUGUCGUAGACUGGCCAAGUCAUGUAAAGGAAUCUUAUUUAGAUCUUAUUAGCAGAACACCUGGGAGUCUCAGGGGCUCCAUUUCAAAUAUUUAGGAGCAUCAUGCAACUAUAAACAAAUUAAUAGUGUAGAUAAAGUAAUAUAGAAUAAUUACUAAUAAUACAGUAAUAAAGCAAAUACUAAAGUAUAUAUCUGGAUAGGCUUGCUUAAAUAAUAAAGAUAGGUUUUAGCAGGCUUCUAAAACAGUAUAAUGUGAAUGCUUAUCUAAUGGUCAAUAGGUAAAGCUGUUGCAUAGCUUACCUCUGUUGUAAAGGACAUUGUGAACUCCAACACACAUCGGCUCCAGCCAGCAUGGAGAAUAAUCAACGAUGAUGGGAGUUUUAGACCAACAUCUUGAAGACCAACAUCUUAAACGAAGAACAACACUGAUGUGCAUUGUUGACAAAUAUAUGGAUGGAGUGAUGAAUACUGGACAAUUUCAGAAGGCUGAAAGGGCACAUGAAGCAAUCACCUUUCAAUAUGUGCUUUGCAGUCAAGCAACCACAACUUCAUAGUAUCUGAGGCUGUAGAAAAUUGAUUUAAGUGCUUCAGUAGCUGCUAAAAUGCUUAAAGUUGACUGCCAAUAGCCUUGGAUGUCUGCUGGGACCACUAUUGAUUCCUACCCUGCCCUGGGUUUCCUUUCGCCUGCGACUCCAGUUUGAAGAAUGGUGCGACAGCCAACUUGCAGAUCUUCCAUGCUCCAGACUGGUGCUAUGUCACUGUUGGAAAUGAACAGUACUGCUUACUGCUGCCAGCAUGUGCGGUCCAGCAAGAUAAAAGGAAUAUAAAAAAAUAAGAUUGGCACAUCUAGGAAAGCAGGACUUGGCUCCAGUUCAGGUUAGUCCAAAAUCACGUUAUCAGCUUAAAAAACUGCGACCAGUUUGUUUGUUGCUUGAGUAGCAUGUAGAAGGGUUGCCCAAAUCAAGUACACACUUCCUUCUUUUUGCCAGUGGUGAAUGAUGAAUGGUGCUCAUGUAUGAAGUAAUCAUAUGAUUCAGGCUCCAUGACUUAAAAUAGAUUGCUUACUUGUGUCUUUUGAAUGGUGGUCUGUGCAGUCACAAUCACAGGAUCUGCAUCUGUGCACAGAAACUUCUAGAGCAGGGGUCGGAAAAGAUUCUGUGGCUUGGG